rnacentral:misc_RNA from 1 species
GAUGAAGAACGCAGCGAAACGCGAUAUGUAAUGUGAAUUGCAGAAUUCAGUGAAUCAUCGAAUCUUUGAACGCACAUUGCGCCCCUUGGUACUCCAUGGGGCAUGCCUGUUCGAGCGUCAUUUACACCCUCAAGCUCAGCUUGGUGUUGGGCGUCUGUCCCGCUUCGUGCGCGGACUCGCCUCAAAUGCAUUGGCAGCGGUCUUGCCAGCUUCUCGCGCAGCACAUUGCGCUUCUAGAGGCUUUGGCGGAUCGGCGUCCAUCAAGUACACCCACAGUUUGACCUCGGAUCAGGUAGGGAUACCCGCUGAACUUAAGCAUAUCAAUAAGCGGAGGA